GACUCUCGGCAAUGGAUAUCUCGGCUCUUGCAUUGAUAAAGAACGUAACGAAAUGUGAUAUUUAGUGUAAAUUGUAGAAUUUCGUGAACCAUCGAAUCUUUGAACGCAAGUUGCACCCGAAACCCUUAGGUUAGGCACGCCUGCUUGGGUGUAA